UAAGGAAUAUUGGUCAAUGGACGGAAGUCUGAACCAGCCAUGCCGCGUGGAGGAUGAAGGUCCUCUGGAUUGUAAACUUCUUUUAUAGGGGGCGAAAAAAGGGAAUUCUUUCUCGUCUGACGGUACCCUAUGAAUAAGCACCGGCUAACUCCGUGCCAGCAGCCGCGGUAAUACGGAGGGUGCAAGCGUUAUCCGGAUUCACUGGGUUUAAAGGGAGCGUAGGCGGGCAUGUAAGUCCGUGGUGAAAGCCCUCAGCUCAACUGAGGAACUGCCAUGGAUACUAUAUGUCUUGAAUGUCGUUGAGGUUUGCGGAAUGGGUCAUGUAGCGGUGAAAUGCUUAGAUAUGACCCGGAACACCAAUUGCGAAGGCAGCAGGCUAAACGAAUAUUGACGCUGAGGCUCGAAAGCGUGGGGAUCAAACAGG
rnacentral:rRNA from 1 species